rnacentral:rRNA from 1 species
UCAUGGCUCAGGAUGAACGCUAGCUACAGGCUUAACACAUGCAAGUCGAGGGGCUAUCACUGAGAUAGCUUGCUAUUUCAGAUGGCGACCGGCGCACGGGUGAGUAACGCGUAUCCAACCUGGCCCGUAGUAGGGAACAGCCCGGCGAAAGUCGGAUUAAUGCCCUAUGUUCUCCGAUGAAGACAUCUGAGUUGGAGCAAAGAUUCAUCGCUACGGGAUGGGGAUGCGUCUGAUUAGGUAGUAGGCGGGGUAACGGCCCACCUAGCCAACGAUCAGUAGGGGUUCUGAGAGGAAGGUCCCCCACAUUGGUACUGAGCCAGGAUCAAACUC